UACGUAGGGGGCGAGCGUUGUCCGGAGUUACUGGGCGUAAAGCGCACGUAGGCGGUCUGUGAAGUUUGGAGUGACAGUUGGUGGCUCAACCACCAAAGUGCUUUGAAAACUGACAGACUUGAGGGCUUCAGAGGGACACGGAAUUCCGGGUGGAGUGGUGAAAUGCGUAGAGAUCCGGAGGAACACCAAAGGCGAAGGCAGUGUCCUGGGGAGUACCUGACGCUCAGGUGCGAAAGCCGGGGGAGCGAACGGG
rnacentral:rRNA from 1 species